rnacentral:rRNA from 1 species
UACAGAGGGUGCAAGCGUUGUUCGGAAUUAUUGGGCGUAAAGGGAGUGUAGGCGGUCCAUUAAGUCUUCUGUGAAAUCUACGGGCUUAGCCUGUAACGUGCAGAGGAAACUGGUGGACUUGAGUGUCGGAGAGGAUAGGGGAAUACCCGGUGUAGAGGUGAAAUUCGUAGAGAUCGGGUGGAACACCAGUGGCGAAGGCGGUUGCCUGGAGCUUUGCUGACGCUGAGGCGCGAAAGCGUGGGGAGCAAACAGG